AUAUUGGACAAUGGGGGAAACCCUGAUCCAGCGACGCCGCGUGUGUGAAGAAGGCCUGCGGGUUGUAAAGCACUUUUAGUGGGGAUGAAAAGUCUCGGACUAACAAUCCGGGAUCUUGACCUAACCCACAGACAAAGCACCGGCUAACUCUGUGCCAGCAGCCGCGGUAAUACAGAGGGUGCAAGCGUUGCUCGGAUUUACUGGGCGUAAAGCGUACGCAGACGGUGAGAAAGGUCGGAUGUGAAAGCCCCGGGCUCAACCCGGGAACUGCAUCCGAAACCAUCUCGCUAGAGUAUGGGAGAGGGAAGCGGAAUUCCUGGUGUAGAGGUGAAAUUCGUAGAUAUCAGGAGGAACAUCUGCGGCGAAGGCGGCUUCCUGGCCCAUUACUGACGUUCAGGUACGAAAGCGUGGGUAGCAAACAGG
rnacentral:rRNA from 1 species